GAACCCUUGGCGCAGUGGUAGCGCGCCGUUCUUAUAUUUACAUUCUCUUUAGAGGAGUCGAUAUGAAUAACUUCAUCAAGUGAUGCGGAUGUCGCGAGUUCGAACCUCGCAGGGUUCA
rnacentral:tRNA from 1 species